AUUUAGGAUUUCCUAUUGUAUUUUGGUUUAUCUAAAUUUCCUAUUUAAUUUCAUAUUCCUAUUAGGUUUCGGAGUCUAAAAACAUUAUAAAUACCCUUAUUUACAUAUAAUUUCAAGAGACAGAUUUUAAUGAAUAAAAACACUGCAGAGAAUUUUCUCUAUUUUUUCACUCUUGUGUAUGGAGUGUGUUUCUAUUUGAGCUUCAUGCCACGUCAGAAGGUAAAAAUGAGGAGCUUUUAAAUUAUUCUUGAACAUCUUUGUUUUGUAGUUUAUUAAUUUAAACCCACAAUGGGUUACACUGUUAGACUCCUUAUGGAUUUAGGCCAGUAAUGUAAGAGCAUCCAGGUGUUUUGUUCAAGCUAGCUUGUGGAGAGAGUCAUGAAUUAUCAUAAGCCAUAUUAUUUAGUCUUGUGGGCGAGAGAGUCAUGGAUUAUAACAAUGAAAAAACAAUACCAAAUUAUAUAUUUAACUCAAAUAUGGAUUAUUAUUCAACUUUAAGGCAGGUAGCAAGCAAGUGUCUGGAAAAUAUUCUUAUAUCAUCUACAAUUUGUUAAUUACUUCUCUUUCCAGUACAGGUGUUUCUGUCCAAUAUAUUAUGGAGACUAUCCUGAACUAAUGCAUAAAAUAGUUGGAGAUC
rnacentral:misc_RNA from 1 species